UCUCUCUCUCUCUCUGUGUACAGGGGCAGUCUCUCUCUCUCUCAUUGUACAGGGGCAGUCUCCUCUCUGUCUCCUCGGACUCCCGGUUCUCUGCUCUCUCUUCAGGCCGGGCUCCUCUCCGGUCGGGGCGGUCAGUCCCUCUUCUAGAGCCGGCGACCCGAGGAGCUGAGGCCGGAGCAGCGAGCGGGUGAGGGGAAGGAAAACCGGGCGAGUCCUGUGAAGUUCCAGCCGAGGACGGAGGGAGACGCCCGGUCAGGAGAUCUCCCGGCAACCGCCGCUUCGUCUGCUUCCUCCUCGCUCGGGUGCAAAUGUGUUGGGGGCGCAGAGUGUGGAGAGCGGAUGACGUCACUGCCCAUAUAUAUGAGGCGCGGUCUGCGGACUCGGAGUCCACAGCCAUUCAGCAGAACACAGGCCUCCCGCUCUCUGCUCCUCCAGCCACUGCCCGAGGCCCGAGCUGUCACCUACCGGAGCCGAUUUGCACACGUAGCAACGAUGUAGAGAGAAGAUGCAGACUCUGCAGAUGGAGGGAGAGGGGUCGAAACAUUGGCCAGAAUCCGUGUACAGAGAGAACCUACAGCCGAAUCUGCGGGGGAGGGGGAGAGACCGCACCACCUCUCCUCCCACGUCUGUCACAUUCAGUCCACAUAUUACUCCCCAUAACUACAACCCUCAUCUAUUUCUUUCCCGGUUUAGGGUGAGCAAAUUGCUCCUAGUUUCCGAUUUCUGGCUGAUUUGUGGCAUCGGAGGGCUCGGCUCUGGACAGUGACCACGUUCCUUUGUCUGUUUGAUGUCUGCAUGUAGACAUACAGCCUGGCUGGCGAUCUAAAGGGCUCGUCUGCACAUAACUCUGACUGCGUGUGGUUUCAUGGCAUGGGCUAUUACUUCUCGAAGGAGGCCAUGAGCUGGACGUCCAGUAGGAAGUUCUGCGAGGAGCAGGGGGCCAGCCUGGCCCUCAUCAGGGACGCUCAUAUAAAGGAUUCGGUGAGGCUGCCGUUUGCUUAUGAUCAGCAGGAGCCGCUGGAGGACAUGACAGAUCCUUUCUGAGUCCCUGAGCAGUCGUGGUUUAUGGAUUUCGGUCCAUUGCAGGACGACUUGAAACACUUCAUGCAGGACAGCGAGGGCCAGUGGUGUGGACAGGCUCUGGUAGACGGAGAGUUAAAGUGGCUAGACGAGAUGGCUGAUGAGAGCUGCUACCUGACCUGAGAAGAUGCUGGAGAGUAUGUAGGGGCGCUACUUCACCUUCUGCUGGUGGAAGGACCUAUAAACUGGGUGCUCAUAUUAUAUUAUAGCAGGACGGAGGUCGGCGACAUGUUCCUCUCCGCACAAUCCAGAAGAUGGGUGGAUCCAGUGAUCUUUCUCUGUUCCCCCAUUCACAGUGCAGGACAUGGUGAUGACUUGUCUCCACGUUCCUCAGAUCUCUCCCCAAUCUCCAUCUGUGGGAUGUGCUGGAAAACAAGUCCGAUCUAUGGAGGAUGCACCUCACCACGUAUAAGACUUCACCCUUUUACUGCCAGGGCAAUUUUAACACUUUCAAUCCACUCAAGUAAAUCCUAAUACAACCCCUUCCCCGAAUACCCAACUCUUUUACAGGUUAGACACGCACUUCUGUCCACGUGCAGAUAUCAUCACCAGACCUGAAGAGACCAGAAACAGCCACAAUGGGCUGGAGGGAUGACAGGAGGAUAAGGUCCUGUAUCCACCCAUGAGGUCACUAGAGGAUGUAUGGGGCGAGAUUAGUAUAAACGGCUAUAGCUGGUGAGAGGGGUGAGAACACGAAGAGAGGUUCCUGUAGGAGAGUCCAGCCGAGACUAGAAGGUACUCUUUCCUGACUUCAUCCAUGUUCUGGGCCUAUGAUGUUAGAGCUUUCUUCAUAUGAAAGCCGAGGCUGUGAGCUUCAGUCUGACGUCACGCUCGAGCCCUCACAGCCUAGGCAUGUAUAGGCCACAUAUUAUAAUUCCCUGGCAGUGAAAGGGUUUAAAUCCCAAGACAUUAACAUGACCUGGUGUGAACGUCAGCUUCCACAUUUCAGGCAUGGAUGAUCCUGCUGAAAACCCCACCACUUGUGGUUCCUCACUGUGUCGGCCGCUGGAUGUCAGUCCCAUCACCACAUCCAUCAGUCCUCAUCCACCUCCAGAGACCAAACUAACCCUGAUCCUCGGGGAUAUAAUGGACAUCUUUAUACGCUGCGAUACCAGUCACAUUCCUGCGUCUGGAUGGAACUAUACCGCCUGCCUCCACUGAACAGUGCUGAUAAUGGAAGGACUGACUACGAUCCUGUAAUGGAAAAACAACCAAAGCCUGAAUAAUGGGGAAUAUAAGUAGGGGGCGUCCGCUAUGUCCUAGAGCAGGAAUGCUCAACCUGCGGCCCUCCAGCUGUUGCAAAACUACAACUCCCAGCAUUCUCUAAUAGCUGUAGGCUGUCUAUGCAUGCUGGGAGUUGUUGUUUUGCAACAGCUAGAGGGCGGCAGGUUGGGCAUUCCUGUCCUAGACCAUCACAUUUAUACAUCCCCCCCCCCCCCCCAAAUACACUAUAUGGAGAAAGUACCGGACCCUCCACAUUCCACCUCCAGGGGCUUUUCUCCCCUCCCAUUCUACGUCCAUAGGCAUAAACGCACAGCUGUCCCCCUUUGCCCUUCUAGGAAGGCUUUCUACAAGAUUUUGGGGGGUGUCUGGGAAUUUCUGAAUCUUCAUGUGGUGCAGCAUUCUCCGGGGAAAACAUGACAUUAUUUAUCAUCCAGUAACUAUCAGCGCAGCGCCCCCUCCUGGUACAAGAGGAAAGGGGCUUCCUGGUGUCCUGUAAGUAAAGUUUGAAGGGCCAUUAACUUUUCAUAGACACAAAUAUAAAGUUGUGAUUGGUGGGGUCUGAGCGCUGAGACCCCCACUAUCCCUAGAACGAGGGGAGAGGAGCGCUCUCGUGGUAUGGAUGGAAUCGAGGCAGACCCGUGGACUGCUAUGGGGCCCGUCUCGUGCAGCUCUAUGGGAGUGCUUCUCUGCUCUCGUUCUGGGGGGCACUCAGACCCCACCAAUGAGAACUUGUGUCUCUGUCACAUAUCAAAAGCUUUUUGAAAAGUUAGUGACCCUUUACUUCCUGUAUGAAAAGCCCUGCAGCGUCCGAAUAUCCUCUCUGCAUCAAUUCUGCAUCAUUUUUUAGGUUUUUGCUUGCUUUCAGUGAAUGUGGACACUCUUCCUUCCAGUCAGUAACUCUGCACACAGCUAGUCCUGCUCUUGAUAUCCGGUCUUAUGGAAAUCCAGGACUUUGUCGGGGGUCCUCACAAGUAAAACCAUCACCAUUAGUAAUCCGCCACCUGAAGAAGUCCUCCCCGUAGUCUACAGCUACAUGCCCCGCCCCCUCACCCUCUCAGCCAAUCAGGGCAUUCAUCAACAGGCAGACUCAAUCUUGAGCAAACAAUUAACCCCUUCAGUUGACAUGUGUUUUCUGCUCCACACAAGGGCUUGUUUUUUUUCCAGAACGUGUCAGAUAUUUUUUAAAAUCUUUUUUAUAUAAUGUACUUGGAAACUUAAAAAAAAAAAAACUAUUGGUUGGAUGGAUAGAAAAAAUAAUUCCUCCAUUGUGUAUUUUGGGGCUUUGUUUUUAUGGCACUGACUGCGCAGUAAACAUGGCGGCACAAUUACAGCCGGGCCAAAGGUUUUAUUGUUUUAUCACUUUAAAAAAAAGUAAAAACCUUCAUAAAAAAAAAAAAAGAAAAGCAUUUACUGGCGCCCCUAAUAUUUUGAUCUUUUUGUCGUUUUUUUACAAGCCAAGGUUGUUUUAUGACUUUUAGAUUUCUUUUCUUUGAAGCGAUGGCAGUUCCGUCGUUCAGUGAUUCGGCGAUGCGAAUUGUUCACUUUUUAGAUCAUACAUUUUUGUAAUUUAAUAAACAAUGGGGAGAUUUAUCAAAACUGGUGUAAAGGAAACGGUCCCCUAGCAACCAAUCAUUAUGAAAAUGAAAGGAGGAAUCUGAUUGGUCACUAGGGGCCACUUUUUCUUUAUACCAGUUUUGGUAAAAAACAAAAACAAACAUUGGGGUAGAUUUCAGUCCCUCUCGGGGAUUUGAACCUAUGGUUGCUGGUACCAUACACUGCGAUACUUCUAUACUGCAGUAUCAUAGAUGCCAGCAUACUGCUCCAUCUCAUCCCCAGGCUGAAAAUGUACACGCCCCGAAUUUACCAACUCAAAUGUGGGUAACUAUGCAGUAUAUUGUGAUUUACCAGGAUCCUGUUACCCCGGAGUCCUAACAUGGCGGACCUGGGGGUCUUCACAUGGCAGGGGGAGCCCACUCCUCGCAGACCUGUGAUGUACACAUACAUCAAAGAGCACAAAGGGGUUAAAAAACACAAGAAGCAGCACCUUGGGAACAUCUUGGUAAUUAUAGGUCACAUCUAGGAAUGUUCUCCUGACUCAGGAGUUGUCUACCACGUGGCCACCGCCUCAGCUCAUUAACCCUCUCAUCACCCAGGAAACUGCAGAAAGAUGACGCAUGUCACCGCAAUCAGCCAAGUGAUAUCAGAUGUUUUUACGCCCACAUAGUGUACCUGCAGGCCUCACAGCCUACCAGACACAUUACAUGGUUAGUGUUGGUGGGGGGGUAAGGGGUGUUUGGGUAAAAAAAAACUUCAAUACCGUCCAUUGUUGUGUGUGGGGGGGGGGG